rnacentral:lncRNA from 10 species
GUGAAGGAAGCCGUAGUUUUAGUAUAAAUUGGCUUCAGAGACUCCUUGAUACAUACGAUGUGCAUGGGAAGGCCUGGGGAUGUUCUGCUUUUAGACACACUUUCUGUCUCUGGCAUCAGCUCACAGAUGUGCAGACAUUUCUCUGUUUUGUGGGGCGGCCAGAGUGGAACAGGCAGGGAAGGGGUUGCUGGAAGACCUUUUCUCAUUUGACAAAGUUUCAGUGAGUUGAGAAACUGAUGUUAGUUAUUGAGUACUGUAUUUGCAAGUGUCUGAGCGUCAUCACUGAACAAAACCAGCCCAAGUGCAUGUCCCUGCGGAGCUCACAGUCUGUGGGCCGAGUGCAAAACACCAACAGGGACCUCAGAAGCCUCACCAAUGGCUGUGCAGCAGUCAGACCCUGAGUGACUGCACAGAGCAGAGCUCUCUGCUGACAGCUGCGCAGCUUCCGUGAAUGAGAAAUGAGCCUUCACUGCCUGCAGUCACCAAGGCCUGGAGGCCUCUCUGUUGAAGAAGCAAGCAGACAGGUGGAGAAGGCUGUGGGUGGAGAAGUUGGAAGCUCAGUUCUGAGCCUUUUGAGCUCUCUAUUAGACGACCAAGUGCAGACAUCAAGCAGGAACUUGAUACAUGAGUGAGCAGUCUGCAAGUGCGUGAACUUUAUGUGAUGGAAAAUGAUAACCCUCCCCCAAAAAUACAACUCAGUAGAUAAAUUGAACUAUUUUGAGUUUAAGAAGCUCACUUUCUAAAGAGCAAGCCAUACAAUAAAAUUAAUGUGAAGAAAAACUAUGCAAAUUAACAUGAUGCCAUCAUUUGUAAUGUUAUGUGACUAAACCUUUCGAUCUCAAUGAUAGUUUGUAAUACAUUGGUUAGUUCAGAAAAGUGCUAAGGCACGGCGAAGCUGCUGAGGCAUCCCAGAAUCCUGCUCUGUACACUGUCAUAAAAAUGAUAAUAUUAAAAGCCACGAUCUUUAAAAUGAAGAUGACCCCAUGAUAUUUGGGCAUCGGAAUUCCCCAAGCUCUUACAAUUCUUUAAUUUCAACUUUGAAUGGUGUUUCAUUUUCAGCAACCACCUGCAUAAAUAAUUCAUUCUCUUUAAAGAUGCUGGGAACUAAGCAACUGGGAUAAUUGACAAUUUUGAAAGGAAGAAGAUGAAUGUGCAUGUUAUGGAAAGGUCGUGUUUCCUAUAAGGUUUUUCUCUCUGAGGAUUUGUGUGGUGCUGAAUGAAAAAAUAUUAAAUCAACUAAAAUAUUUUUCUUGAAAAUCUCGUAAAAUUACAAAAUAAAGUUUCUUUUGUGUGAAGUUAAAUAGAAAUGAAAAUUAUAAGUGGAAUAUUUAGAAUAUAUAAUGCAUCCUCUGUGUAGAUAAUUUUAAUCUAGUCCGGUCUUUUAAAGUCAACAUAGUUUUUUUGUUUCAUAUUAAUUAAAUAUAGAUGUGAUUUGUCAAAUUGAAAGUUUCAAAAUUUUUUAGAAAGAGACUGUACGCUGCUAUACAUAGUAAGUACAAGGAUGGUAAGUUAGCCUUAGGGGUGUUGGCUGUUGACUGGUGAUAUUAAAUACAACUGAUUUCCCCUUUGUCAUACUGGAGCCUUGUUCCAUUUACAAAGAGAUAACAGUGUAAGUCCAGCAAACCAGCUACUUACUUUUAAAUGAAAUUUUCAGCAUUUACUGAGGCCUCAGGUACCAGACAUGC